UACGAAGGGGGCUAGCGUUGCUCGGAAUCACUGGGCGUAAAGGGUGCGUAGGCGGGUCUUUUAAGUCAGGGGUGAAAUCCUGGAGCUCAACUCCAGAACUGCCUUUGAUACUGAAGAUCUUGAGUUCGGGAGAGGUGAGUGGAACUGCGAGUGUAGAGGUGAAAUUCGUAGAUAUUCGCAAGAACACCAGUGGCGAAGGCGGACUCACUGGCCCGAGUACUGACGCUGAGGCACGAAAGCG
rnacentral:rRNA from 1 species